rnacentral:rRNA from 1 species
AUUGAACGCUGGCGGCAGGCCUAACACAUGCAAGUCGAGCGAGCGGCGGACGGGUGAGUAAUGUAUGGGGACUGCCCGAUAGAGGGGGAUAACUACUGGAAACGGUAGCUAAUACCGCAUACUAUCGGAUAACCCAUAUGGGAUGAGAUAGUAGGUGAGGUAAUGGCUCACCAAGGCGACGAUCCCUAGCUGGUCUGAGAGGAUGAACAGCCAAACUGGAACUGAGACACGGCCCAGACUCCGCCGGGGGAAGCAGUGGGGAAUAUUGCACAAUGGGCGCAAGCCUGAUGCAGCCAUGCCGCGUGUAUGAAGAAGGCCCUAGGGUUGUAAAGUACUUUCAGUCGGGAGGCGUUACCGACAGAAGAAGCACCGGCUAACUCCGUGCCAGCAGCCGCGGUAAUUC